AUUCCAUCCAUUAAAAUUAGCUAAGAAUGGGGGCCAAACACCUGCCUAGUCUCUAUGGGUAAACAGAUGUUACACGAAGUUUAUCUUAUUUGAUUAAAAUAAAUGUUUCAUUUAAGUCAAGGGCAAAGUAGAAUUUGUAACAAAAAAUAUUCACAAUAGAAGGAAAAUGCAUUUGUUUUACAACUGUGAAUUAUGUGUAUUACUGUCGUGCAUUUGCAAUAGAGCAGAAAUGAUGUCUGGGAUGUAUGUAUCAAAAGCACAUGUACUGGUAGGCAUCUGUUAGCUGCUCAAAAAUUAUGCUUGCUAAGUACUAGCUAUUUUCUAUUUUUCUUAGUUACUGCAUUUGUAGAUGGAUGUAUCAGUUUCUAAAAAUUGAUUUGUUUUAUUGCUUCAUUUCUUCUCUUUUACUGAGUAAUUUCAUGCACGAGUACACUGCGUGUUAUUGCCUAUGCAAUUGACCUGUGCUUUUCUGUAUGUGAUGUUGUAUUAUAAUCAGCAUUUGGACUUGUGCUUUUAGCAUAAAGCGUUCAUGGUUUUGGCCUGGGAAUUCUGACUCUUGAUGAACUUCUGGUUUCUGUCUUUCUGAAAAUGAAUUAUCAUUGAUGUUCUGGUUUUUGUCUUGCUCAGUCUUCUAAUUUUGGUUGGAAUACUUUUAGGAUGGAUAUCUAUAAUCAAUAUUCUCAUUUUGAUUAUAAAACAUCAUCUGGGUCAUGAUGCCCUCGAACUUUUAUGCUUUGGAUUUGGAUAUAUUUCCUUAUCUUGUUUGAUAUCUAAUUGCUCUCUAUGUUCUUGUUUGGCAUUUUUGUAAGUAUAUUGUUUUGGAGUUGCAAGUCUAUGGGUUUCCCUUAUUCUAAGGCUAGAGAAAAGGGAAAAGAGGAUAUGAUGGUGGAACAGCCCAGGAUUGAUGUUCCCAAGCCAAAUUUUGAGACCAGGGG
rnacentral:lncRNA from 1 species